AGGCGGUCAGUAAGCCAGGCGGGGGCCCUGACCGUGCUGGUAAUGUGACAGCAUGAAGGGUGUGCAAAGCUUGGCCUCCUGGUCGCAUUGCUCACACUUCAGCCGAUUGGAUCGUUGUCAACUUCAUGUUUUUUUUCAGAUGUGACCCGGUCAUCAACAGUGACCAGCAGCAGCAGAGAAUGGGAACGGCAAGGGGAAAAAAAUCGCAAUGUGUGCACCUGGUUUGGGGAGAAGUAUGUAAAUAGAGCCAUGGAACAUCAACAUGACGAGGAAAAGGGCGGGGCUAGAGCGAGGACUGAAGGCAGAGUAAACACAGCUUGUCUGAAAAACAGACACGGUCCUCGGUCCUCGUAACUUUGGCUCUCGGGGGUGCAAAUGGCGUAUAUCUGAUUCCGCUCUGUGGCAGCAAGAUGCUUCUUCACCUUGGGUAAACAGGAAAUUACAACUAAAGGACGCACAGAGUAACCUGCUGUGUGUCACCUGCACACUGUGGACUGCAGUGCUCUUGGAUUUAUACAUAAAUACUUCAGAGCUUUAAAUGGCAAAAGGCUAGAUCUGUUUACCUCUGCACUGUGUACUUGGGAAUUACGAAAGAAUUAAGGAAAUAAUUUACUGUUGUAGUAAAGGCCCUGAGUGCAAUAUUUAUAACAUAAAAUUCCUUCCCUUAAGAAACGUGGGGAACUCUGUUGCAGGAACUCUUAAAAUGACAUGACAGAACAGAAUGCUCCUUUUGCAGAUGAAAAGCUGAGAGCACCCUGUCCUUCCCCAACACUUAUAAAUAUCAAGCAAGCUGAAGAGACCCUUCUCUCAGGCUCCCCGUGCCUGGAUACUAUCAGAGAUUCGCUUUUUGUCUCUCAUGAAGAAUUUGCCCCUUUCAGAAAUGGGCUCGUCAAAAGAGUGCCCUGCACCUCUGUUCUGCACCUUUGUUUGGAGAACCAGCAGGCUUCGUCAUUACAGAACGCCUGGGUAUUGGCCUUCAGGGCCCUUCACUGAGACGUCAGAGGCAAAAGCUAGAAGUGCUCCCAAAGAGAUCCUAAGAUUUGCUCAGGGCUGAGCAGAUAGGAGGUGACUGGGACAGCACUGGCACCCUGGGCUUCUGACUCUGGGUUCAGGGUUACGCCUGCUUCUCCUAAAAUGCUGAAGGUCCCAGACAUCCAUGCAGCCAUGCUUCUAGACCCACAACCAUCUGAAGGAAGGGUUCUCUCCAGUCACUCUAAUAACUGAAACCCACUGGCAUGUGUCAAACAUACCUAAGAAUGCUUGAUCUAAAGGAAAGAAUGAAAGCCCACCUAUCCUCAUUUUUUCUCGUCGUUUCAGAGAGAUGGCCAAA